CCGAUCUUGUUGGGCGGCCGGGUUUCGUCACCGUUAGGAUGAGGUUCUCCUUCCAUUCCUGACGUAGUCGAUCUCAGCUCAGGUUAGGACGAGGUUCUCCUCCUGUUCCCAACGGGGCCGCGGGGGCACAUAAGGGCCAUCGCAAGGGCCUCUCCCCCCAUCCGGUCUAAAAGAAUCGGGCCUUCGACUUUACUCAUGUCAGGACGAGGUUCUCCUCCUAUUCCUGACAUGGCUGUGGGGGCGC
rnacentral:lncRNA from 1 species